rnacentral:rRNA from 1 species
AUUGAACGCUGGCGGCAGGCUUAACACAUGCAAGUCGAGCGGGGGAAAGUACUUCGGUACUGACCUUAGCGGCGGACGGGUGAGUAAUACUUAGGAAUCUGCCUAUUAGUGGGGGACAACAUCUCGAAAGGGAGGCUAAUACCGCAUACGUCCUACGGGAGAAAGCAGGGGAUCUUUAUGACCUUGCGCUAAUAGAUGAGCCUAAGUCGGCUUAGCUAGUUGGUGGGGUAAAGGCCUACCAAGGCUACGAUCUGUAGCGGGUCUGAGAGGAUGAUCCGCCACACUGGGACUGAGACACGGCCCAGACUCCUACGGGAGGCAGCAGUGGGGAAUAUUGGACAAUGGGGGGAACCCUGAUCCAGCCAUGCCGCGUGUGUGAAGAAGGCCUUAUGGUUGUAAAGCACUUUAAGCGAGGAGGAGGCUCUUUUGGUUAAUGCCCAAGAUGAGUGGACGUUACUCGCAGAAUAAGCACCGGCUAACUCUGUGCCAGCAGCCGCGGUAAAAC